rnacentral:piRNA from 1 species
UAGGUGUAAUGAUAGUGCAAUCAUUUUGAAGU